CGAAGUCUGUGAUGAAUCAUUUUUACCUACAUUAUUUGAUUACUGAUGAAUAUCGAUUCUGAGACCUCA
rfam:Trichinella murrelli scaffold73s, whole genome shotgun sequence.